rnacentral:piRNA from 1 species
CCCAGGAACAAUAAGUGGCUGCAG